rnacentral:rRNA from 1 species
CCUACGGGUGGCAGCAGCAAGGAAUUUUCGGCAAUGGGCGCAAGCCUGACCGAGCAACGCCGCGUGCGGGAUGACGGCCUUCGGGUUGUAAACCGCUUUUGGGGGGGAUGACAUCGACCGUACCCUCCGAAUAAGCCCCGGCUAACUCUGUGCCAGCAGCCGCGGUAAUACAGAGGGGGCAAGCGUUGUCCGGAUUGACUGGGCGUAAAGGGCACGUAGGUGGCCGGGAUAGUGGGGUGUGAAAUCGGACGGCUUAACCGUCCGCCGCCAUCCCAGACUGCUCGGCUCGAGGGAACCAGAGGGUGGUGGAAUUGCCGGUGUAGUGGUGAAAUGCGUAGAGAUCGGCAGGAACACCAAGGGCGAAAGCAGCCACCUGGGGUUCACCUGACACUGAGGUGCGACAGCGUGGGGAGCGAACCGGAUUAGAUACCCUAGUAGUC